rnacentral:tRNA from 3 species
GGCCCCAUCGUCUAGCGGUCAGGAUGGUACCCUCUCACGGUAUAGACACGGGUUCGAGUCCCGUUGGGGUCACCA